GAAAUCAUAUGAAAGGUUUAGGUUUAAUUACCUUCAUACGGAUCCUGCUUUCGAAGUGUAUCUUCUACCUGACCUUAGGUUAUUUUCCAAAUGUUUUCGUCGGAAAACUCACCUGAGCCCAGCAUCAGUAGUGGUGCACGUGCCCUAACGUAUUCAGACGUCGUGCAAGCAAUAAUAUCUACGCCUUUGGACAAUGACUUUUUGGUAUCGUUACCAAAAGCAAGAUUUCGAGGAAGCCACGCGGGUUUCCUUGGAGACGUCGCUUAAUGACGUUCCGCUGGUAAGUAGAUUUAUGUUCAUUGCCGUUCAUUCUAUUUUUUGCUGACGAUUAGGGUAAAACCUGGAGGCAAAAACUUAGUCGCCCUUAUCAAUUUUAAUUUUAGAGAUGCAAGAGUGAAUCUGAAGACAGCCUAGAUAAGACAACCCCUGGAUUUCACCAUACACGUGGCCGUGGGAAGAUGUCACAAAUACCAAUCGAUGUGAUUGACAUUACGGAUUUACCACCGAAGAAGAAAAACAAGAAAGCGAGCAGUUCUUGCUCACUUGUGGGAAAGACGUUCAUGAAGUCCUUUAAUCUGACAUUGACACCGACGAUCAAUUGAACCAAGCCACUUUCUUCAUUCGAAGGAAAUCGAAGGCAAGGACAAUGGAAAAGAGUUAGUUGGAGAGUGACGUGGAAUCUCUUUCGGAAGGUUCUUCGUCGUCCCAAGACGAUAAAAAUAAUAAAACGAGGAAAAAACAGCGCAAUAUAUCCGUUGAUGCAUGGGAAAAUGUCGAGAAGCAAAUGCGUGUGAGGUUGUUGUAACACCCGGUAAGGUGCAAAAGUGCUA